UACGAAGGGGGCUAGCGUUGCUCGGAAUUACUGGGCGUAAAGGGCGCGUAGGCGGAUGAUUAAGUUGGGGGUGAAAGCCCGGGGCUCAACCUCGGAACUGCCUUCAAAACUGGUCAUCUUGAGCUCGGGAGAGGUGUGUGGAACUCCGAGUGUAGAGGUGAAAUUCGUAGAUAUUCGGAAGAACACCAGUGGCGAAGGCGACACACUGGCCCGAUACCGACGCUGAGGCGCGAAAGCGUGGGGAGCAAACAGG
rnacentral:rRNA from 1 species